CCCAGUGGGGAGAGCCGGAGGCUGGAAUAGCUCAGGGGGAGCUCAGGCAACCUAGGCAAGCUAUAGUGAUUUGCAGCUCUUAGUGAUAAUCAGCUCUUUUGUGAUCUCCAGCUCUUUUAGCUUACGAGGUGCCGCGGCAGCAGACACAGGGGAGAGAGGAGAAAAAGCUGUAUAGGGUUCCACAGGAUUCUUUUAUUCCGGUCUCCACGAAGGGUCCAGUGACAGCUCUUCUGCCGAACCGGGCAGAAUUAGGGGUUUUUUAUACCCUACAGGGGUUUUAAAAACUGUCCAAUAGUAAGGGUCAGGGGAAAGUGACCUAUGGGCUUACAGGGAGAUAAGCAGGGUCCGAAAGGCGGAAGAGAGGGACUGCUGGGUCAUGCUGACUUGGCAUUUCCUAGCUCUUAGGCCUCUGAUCGCCAAGGCCUUGCAGGCCCUGUGCCUGCUACAACUAUAUGGCAGUUUUCCAUUACUUCCAGCCCUAAAUAGGGAAUGACACCCGGACCCUGCAGGUACCAGGAGAAUGGGAGUGGCAUCAGAGCUAGUAUGCAGAUGAGAAAUACAUUGCACCAAAUUUUGCAGUUUUCCAGGAAAACUCCUAAAAAUAACGAGCCAACAUAGAACUAGGGGACCUAAGUGAUGUCUAAGGAUGAGAGUAUAGUCCAGUGCCUGCUUGGAUCCUUUUUGCUUCUCAUCCUAACCUCAAAAGAUGUUGACUAGAAAGAGGACCAGAGAUGUUGGACCGAAAAGGUGGAAUCUCCUAAUCUCUCGUGAGGACAGAAUCCCCAGCUCUGCCUGCAGACCAGCGGACAAAGCUGCAUCCUCCUCCUCCUCCUCCGUGCGUCGUGGGGGCGACCCGUCGAUUUCUCCCCACCUGAGCUGAUUCUUUUUAAUAAAGGCAUUAAAAAGGAGAAAGAUCUCCUGCCCAUUUAUUUCAGGCAUCAGACAUUGAAUUUGACCAAGAAUGAACAGCCAAGUCAUGAGCAGGAUAACAUGCCAAAAAAGAGCUAAAAGUGUUCUGAGACUUCAACCCAGAAGAGAUGGUAUAGACCCACUUUAUUUUUUUUUUUUUUGCCAUAUUUACAAUGGUGGUUCUUAAUAGAACAUCACUCAAAGUUGUAGUAUGGGGUUGAGAUAUGAGAUUUAUUUUCUAUGAAGAUAGUAUUAUGUAAUAUGAACAACAACAAGCAGAAAAAAUGAAGACCAUUCUAACAGAUAUUUCUUUAGUAUGUAAAACCACUAAACGGACACCUGGAUUCAUCUUUUUCUAACUCUUCCUAAUGUUUUAGGUUUUGCAUUGAUAACAUUACUACAGGACAUCUAGUUUUGAGUAUAUUUUAAAUAAAAAUCUUAAAAUAAUAGAAUUGAAAAAAAACCAAUUAUUACAGCAAUAUAAUCUUCCAUGAGGGUUCAGUUUAUGCCAUCAUUAUGUGAUUGAGUCCAAAACAUUAAGGUGAAAGAAGUUUGGCAGCAUUUUUGCAUAAUAUGCCUCUGUUUGAAGCAUCAAUCCAGUUGAAAAAAGAUGAUGUUUGAAGGGGGUGGGAAAUGGGGGAAGGCAGAUUAAAGGCACAAAAAUCAGAAUAGGAGGAUUUGAAGCCCAUUAAAAAAAAAAAAAAAAAGCUUUUCAUUUCCAAAUAUAGAGCAUCAGAUUUAUUUCUUUUCAGUUGGCACAUCCUACUGAAAAGCACUAGAAAUGUUUCACCAUGUACUGAUGCAUUAUCCUAAAGCAAAGCCUCACUAAAUUAAUAAAAUGUACAAUAACAGUUUUGAAUAUGUUAACAUAAACAUAUUUUAAUUCUCAAUGUAACUCACUUUUUUCUCCCACAAAACAGUGUUGAAGGCAAAUAUUCUAUAUGGGAAGUUGUUCACUUGGGCAUGAGGAUUAGUUGUCAUUAAUUCAAAUAAUGGCUGAUUUUGUAUUUGUAAAACAAGUUUGUCUAGAGAAGAAAUUUCAAAUACUCUAAUUUACAGUUUGUGAGCCAUUUCCUAUUGAUCUAUUAGUGAGAUAACAAUAUGCAUGUCCUGUGUAGUCAGAAAUCUACAUGACGUUACUUGAGCUGUUCCAUCUUUGUGAAAUUGAUACUUCUAAUGAUGUGCUGAAAUGUGUCAGAUAUGUUUCAACAGAGAGACAUAAUCAGAGCUCUUUCAUCAGAGAGGAAUGAUACACCUUCAUUGUGAAAAUGUUAUGAAAUAUACUAAUACUUGUGAAAAAUUAUUUCUUUUAUUCCUGUACACUUUUAAAAUGUAUCUUCCUAAAACAAAAUGUGCAGUUAACAUGGGAGUCAGGAGUUCAGUUUAUACAAGCUCUUGGUGAUAUCAUAAGACCUAAUUUUAAGUAGCUUUAUUUUUUUCAUGCUGUAAAAAUAUCAUUGUUGCUUGCUGAAUAUUUGGCUUUCUAUUUAAGUAUACUCAAGAUGAUAUAACUGAAAUAUGCUGAUAUUUGCAUAUCAUCAAGAAAACAGAUGACAACUUGCAGAGACAUUAGAAAUAUAGAGCUUGUCAUUGAAAGUCAGAAGUAUUUGGUUGUAUAGAAUGUGUUUUAGACAGCUGUACCUUGAAUCCCUCCUGAAUGGCUUAGGUGAUAUUUUUGAAAUGCAUACAUUUCAGCAGGAGCACCAGCAAAGUUCAAAAAAUGGAGCAGGGUUCUACUUUCUUUAACAUCAGCAAGGAAUAUCAAGGUGCCAACAGGGACAAAGACCUAAAAAUAUUCAGUUAGGCUGUGAAUGGAUCAUUUGUGCUUAUCUGAACAGAACUGAACCUGUUAGAGGUACAUUCACUGGAAGAAAUAAAGGUAAGCUAAUGAUAGCAGGAAAUUCACGAUUUUUUCAAGUAAUACAACAAUAUUUUAUUGCUACAUUAUUUUAAUACUUUUUCCUGUAAUAACACUAAAAAAAAAAAAAAAC